rnacentral:rRNA from 1 species
CCUAGGUGGCUGCAGUGGGGAAUAUUGGACAAUGGGCGAAAGCCUGAUCCAGCCAUGCCGCGUGUGUGAAGAAGGCCUUCGGGUUGUAAAGCACUUUCAGUGGGGAAGAAAGCCUUGGGGCUAAUACCCUCGAGGAAGGACAUCACCCACAGAAGAAGCACCGGCUAACUCCGUGCCAGCAGCCGCGGUAAUACGGAGGGUGCGAGCGUUAAUCGGAAUUACUGGGCGUAAAGCGCGCGUAGGCGGUCUGAUAAGCCGGUUGUGAAAGCCCCGGGCUCAACCUGGGAACGGCAUCCGGAACUGUCAGGCUAGAGUGCAGGAGAGGAAGGUAGAAUUCCCGGUGUAGCGGUGAAAUGCGUAGAGAUCGGGAGGAAUACCAGUGGCGAAGGCGGCCUUCUGGACUGACACUGACGCUGAGGUGCGAAAGCGUGGGUAGCAAACAGGAUUAGAUACCCCUGUAGUC